UGGGGAAUAUUGGACAAUGGGCGAAAGCCUGAUCCAGCCAUGCCGCGUGUGUGAAGAAGGUCUUCGGAUUGUAAAGCACUUUAAGUUGGGAGGAAGGGCGUUAACCUAAUACGUUAGUGUUUUGACGUUACCGACAGAAUAAGCACCGGCUAACUCUGUGCCAGCAGCCGCGGUAAUACAGAGGGUGCAAGCGUUAAUCGGCAUUACUGGGCGUAAAGCGCGCGUAGGUGGUUUGUUAAGUUGGAUGUGAAAUCCCCGGGCUCAACCUGGGAACUGCAUUCAAAACUGACUGACUAGAGUAUGGUAGAGGGUGGUGGAAUUUCCUGUGUAGCGGUGAAAUGCGUAGAUAUAGGAAGGAACACCAGUGGCGAAGGCGACCACCUGGACUAAUACUGACACUGAGGUGCGAAAGCGUGGGGAGCAAACA
rnacentral:rRNA from 1 species